GAUGAAGAACGCAGUGAAAUGCGAUAAGUAAUGUGAAUUGCAGAAUUCAGUGAAUCAUCGAAUCUUUGAACGCACAUUGCGCCCGCCAGUAUUCUGGCGGGCAUGCCUGUUCGAGCGUCAUUACAACCCUCAGGCCCCCGGGCCUGGCGUUGGGGAUCGGCGGAGCCCCCCGUGGGCACACGCCGUCCCCCAAAUACAGUGGCGGUCCCGCCGCAGCUUCCAUCGCGUAGUAGCUAACACCUCGCGACUGGAGAGCGGCGCGGCCACGCCGUAAAACACCCAACUCUUCUGAAGUUGACCUCGAAUCAGGUAGGAAUACCCGCUGAACUUAAGCAUAUCAAUAGCGGAGGA
rnacentral:misc_RNA from 1 species